AUUGAACGCCGGCGGCAGGCCUAACACAUGCAAGUCGAACGGUAACAGGAAGCAGCUUGCUGCUUUGCUGACGAGUGGCGGACGGGUGAGUAAUGUCUGGGAAACUGCCCGAUGGAGGGGGAUAACUACUGGAAACGGUAGCUAAUACCGCAUAACGUCGCAAGACCAAAGAGGGGGACCUUAGGGCCUCUUGCCAUCGGAUGUGCCCAGAUGGGAUUAGCUAGUAGGUGGGGUAACGGCUCACCUAGGCGACGAUCCCUAGCUGGUCUGAGAGGAUGACCAGCCACACUGGAACUGAGACACGGUCCAGACUCCUACGGGAGGCAGCAGUGGGGAAUAUUGCACAAUGGGCGCAAGCCUGAUGCAGCCAUGCCGCGUGUAUGAAGAAGGCCUUCGGGUUGUAAAGUACUUUCAGCGGGGAGGAAGGGAGUAAAGUUAAUACCUUUGCUCAUUGACGUUACCCGCAGAAGAAGCACCGGCUAACUCCGUG
rnacentral:rRNA from 1 species